rnacentral:rRNA from 1 species
UACGUAGGGUGCGAGCGUUGUCCGGAAUUAUUGGGCGUAAAGGGCUCGUAGGCGGUCUGUCACGUCGAAAGUGAAAACUCAGGGCUCAACCCUGAGCCUGCUUCCGAUACGGGCAGACUAGAGGUAUGCAGGGGAGAAUGGAAUUCCUGGUGUAGCGGUGAAAUGCGCAGAUAUCAGGAGGAACACCGGUGGCGAAGGCGGUUCUCUGGGCCUUACCUGACGCUGAGGAGCGAAAGCGUGGGGAGCAAACAGG